rnacentral:lncRNA from 1 species
UAUUAUUAUUAUCAAUUAUUUAUUUUUUAGAAAAUUAUUAUUAGUUGAUUAUUAAAAACCUUGUGAUUCCUCUAUAGGAAUAGGAAUCCGAACUAAUCGCGGCUUUGUAAGUAUCAGCAGCACUUUAUAAACAGUUGUAAACCCUUUCUUUUUUCUCACUCUUUCUCUCUCUAUAUUCCCUCCCUCUCUCUCUCUCUCUAGAAAAGAAGAGAAAAGAAAGGAGAAAGAAAAGAAAAGUUUGGAGAGAAUAUAGCUAACUGCAUCACCACCAUCAGAAGAAACCGUUGUUCGAUAGAUCUGUGGAGAAGAAGAUGGGACAGAACCAA